GUCCGCUUGAAAUGGAAUUAAAAAUCAAUUCCUUGUAUAAAUGGCUGCCAACCUCUACUGUGAGGGGUCAGAGACAUCUCAGACUUGCAUGCAUUUUGAAUGGUUUCAUAAGUCUCAUAAUAAUUGUUUACACAAUAUACUGACCAUUAUAAAGAAACAACUGGAUCUCUAAGUACAUAUAUUAAAUAUAUAAUAAAUCAUUUAUACACCUACUAUUGUCUAACAAAGUUACUUAUUUUUCAUUUUCUUUACAAAUAUUUACCUUUCAUUUCCCAUUGUCAGUGAUAAGGCAGUACUCAUCUCUAUAUUAUGGGGCUGGUUGUCAUAAGGCAGUACUCCUCUCUAUAUUAUGGGGCUGGUUGUGAUAAGGCAGUACUCCUCUCUACAUUAUGGGACUGGUUGUGAUAAGGCAGAACUCAUCUCUAUAUUAUGGGACUGGUUGUGAUAAGGCAGAACUCAUCUCUACAUUAUGGGACUGGUUGUGAUAAGGCAGUACUCACCUCUGCAUUAUGGGGCUGGUUGUGAUAAGGCAGUACUCACCUCUAUAUUAUGGGGCUGGUUGUGAUAAGGCAGUACUCACCUCUAUAUUAUGGGGCUGGUUGUGAUAAGGCAGUACUCAUCUCUAUAUUAUGGGGCUGGUUGUGAGAGAUGAAUGGAGGAAGAGAUGGAAGGAUGGAGGAUGAGAUGGAGGGAUGAGGGAGAGAUGGAGAGAUAUAAAGAGAGGGGGAUUACAGUAAGGUUAAGGAAGCAUGUUGAGAGAUAAAUUUGAUAAAUAUGUCCCUUGAGGUGUGAGGGGGAGAGGGAUGGAAGGAGACAGAAGGAUGCAGAGAGAGAUGACGAGGGACAGAGGGAGAUGACGAGGGACAGAGGGAGAUGACGAGGGACAGAGGGAGAUGACGAGGGACAGAGAGAGAUGACGAGGGACAGAGGGAGAUGACGAGGGACAGAGAGAGAUGACGAGGGACAGAGGGAGAUGACGAGGGACAGAGAGAGAUGACGAGGGACAGAGGGAGAUGACGAGGGAAAGAGAGAGAUGACGAGGGACAGAGAGAGAAGACGAGGGACAGAGGGAGAUGACGAGGGACAGAGGGAGAUGACGAGGGAAAGAUAGAGAUGACGAGGGACAGAGGGAGAUGACGAGGCACAGAGGGAGAUGACGAGGGAAAGAGAGAUAGAGGGAAAGGUGGUAAGAUGUUGCUGGAGGUUUGAAUGGGAGUAAGAGAGAAGAUGGAGGGAGGAAGAGAGAUGACAGAGGGAGGAAUAUGGAGGGAUGAAGGGAGAUGACAGAGGGAGGAAGAUGGAGGGAUGAAAGGAGAUGACAGAGGGAGGAAGAUGGAGGGAUGAAGGGAGAGACAUCAGGCGUUGUGGGGGCACUAGAGCGUAGUUUCCUGUCAACAAAGUUUAGUCUGAAGACCUUUCUUCGUAUCCUGUUGUAUAUUUUAUUAUAGGGAACACAGUCUAUAUAUCCUGUUGUAUAUUAUAUUAUAGGGAACACAGUCUAUAUAUCCUGUUGUAUAUUAUAUUAUAGAGAACACAGUCUAUAUAUCCUGUUGUAUAUUAUAUUAUAGGGAACACAGUCUAUAUAUCCUGUUGUAUAUUAUAUUAUAGAGAACACAGUCUAUAUAUCCUGUUGUAUAUUUUAUUAUAGGGAACACAGUCUAUAUAUCCUGUUGUAUAUUAUAUUAUAGGGAACACAGUCUAUAUAUCCUGUUGUAUAUUAUAUUAUAGAGAACACAG
rnacentral:lncRNA from 1 species